AGUGAACGCUGGCGGCGUGCUUAACACAUGCAAGUCGAACGGUAGCAGAUAGAAGCUUGCUUCUAUGCUGACGAGUGGCGCACGGGUGAGUAAUGUAUAGCUAACGUGCCCCUUAGAGGGGGAUAACAGUUGGAAACGGCUGCUAAUACCCCAUACUCCUUCUAUCUUAAUGAUAGUUGGGAAAUGUUUUUUCGCUAAGGGAUCGGGCUAUAUGGUAUCAGCUAGUUGGUGAGGUAAUGGCUCACCAAGGCAAUGACACCUAGCUGGUCUGAGAGGAUGAUCAGCCACACUGGAACUGAGACACGGUCCAGACUCCUACGGGAGGCAGCAGUGGGGAAUAUUGCACAAUGGGGGGAACCCUGAUGCAGCAACGCCGCGUGGAGGAUGACACAUUUCGGUGCGUAAACUCCUUUUAUAUAGGAAGAUAAUGACGGUACUAUAUGAAUAAGCACCGGCUAACUCCGUGCCAGCCGCCGCAGUAA
rnacentral:rRNA from 1 species